GAUUAACGCUAGCGGCAGGCCUAAUACAUGCAAGUCGAACGGGAUUCAAAGUAGCAAUAUUUUGAUGAGAGUGGCGCACGGGUGAGUAACACGUAUGCAAUUUACCUUUAACUGGGGGAUAGCCCUCCGAAAGGAGGAUUAAUACCGCAUAAUAUAUUGAAAUGGCAUCAUUUUAAUAUUAAACCUACGGGGGUUAAAGAUGAGCAUGCAUCCGAUUAGCUAGUUGGUGUGGUAACGGCUCACCAAGGCAACGAUCGGUAGGGGGUCUGAGAGGAUGAUCCCCCACACUGGUACUGAGACACGGACCAGACUCCUACGGGAGGCAGCAGUAAGGAAUAUUGGACAAUGGAGGCAACUCUGAUCCAGCCAUGCCGCGUGAAGGAUUAAGGCCCUAUGGGUUGUAAACUUCUUUUAGACGGGACAAAACCCCUUUACGUGUAAAGGGUUGAUGGUACUGUCAGAAUAAGCAUCGGCUAACUUCGUGCCAGCAGCCGCGGUAAAAGUACUCU
rnacentral:rRNA from 1 species